rnacentral:rRNA from 1 species
ACUAAGCGUACACGGUGGAUGCCCUGGCAGUCAGAGGCGAUGAAGGGCGUGCUAAUCUGCGAUAAGCGCCGGUAAGGUGAUAUGAACCGUUAUAACCGGCGAUACCCGAAUGGGGAAACCCAGUGUGACUCGUCACACUAUCAUUAACUGAAUCCAUAGGUUAAUGAGGCGAACCGGGGGAACUGAAACAUCUAAGUACCCCGAGGAAAAGAAAUCAACCGAGAUUCCCCCAGUAGCGGCGAGCGAACGGGGAGGAGCCCAGAGCCUGAAUCAGCAUGUGUGUUAGUGGAAGCGUCUGGAAAGGCGCGCGAUACAGGGUGACAGCCCCGUACACAAAAGCGCAUGUGCUGUGAGCUCGAUGAGUAGGGCGGGACACGUGGUAUCCUGUCUGAAUAUGGGGGGACCAUCCUCCAAGGCUAAAUACUCCUGACUGACCGAUAGUGAACCAGUACCGUGAGGGAAAGGCGAAAAGAACCCCGGCGAGGGGAGUGAAAAAGAACCUGAAACCGUGUACGUACAAGCAGUGGGAGCACAGGUUUACCUGUGUGACUGCGUACCUUUUGUAUAAUGGGUCAGCGACUUAUAUUCUGUAGCAAGGUUAACCGUAUAGGGGAGCCGGAGGGAAACCGAGUCUUAACCGGGCGUUAAGUUGCAGGGUAUAGACCCGAAACCCGGUGAUCUAGCCAUGGGCAGGUUGAAGGUUGGGUAACACUAACUGGAGGACCGAACCGACUAAUGUUGAAAAAUUAGCGGAUGACCUGUGGCUGGGGGUGAAAGGCCAAUCAAACCGGGAGAUAGCUGGUUCUCCCCGAAAGCUAUUUAGGUAGCGCCUCGUGAACUCAUCUCCGGGGGUAGAGCACUGUUUCGGCUAGGGGGCCAUCCCGGCUUACCAACCCGAUGCAAACUGCGAAUACCGGAGAAUGUUAUCACGGGAGACACACGGCGGGUGCUAACGUCCGUCGUGAAGAGGGAAACAACCCAGACCGCCAGCUAAGGUCCCAAAGUCAUGGUUAAGUGGGAAACGAUGUGGGAAGGCCCAGACAGCCAGGAUGUUGGCUUAGAAGCAGCCAUCAUUUAAAGAAAGCGUAAUAGCUCACUGGUCGAGUCGGCCUGCGCGGAAGAUGUAACGGGGCUAAACCAUGCACCGAAGCUGCGGCAGCGACGCUUAUGCGUUGUUGGGUAGGGGAGCGUUCUGUAAGCCUGCGAAGGUGGCCUGUGAGGGUUGCUGGAGGUAUCAGAAGUGCGAAUGCUGACAUAAGUAACGAUAAAGCGGGUGAAAAGCCCGCUCGCCGGAAGACCAAGGGUUCCUGUCCAACGUUAAUCGGGGCAGGGUGAGUCGACCCCUAAGGCGAGGCCGAAAGGCGUAGUCGAUGGGAAACGGGUUAAUAUUCCCGUACUUGGUGUUACUGCGAAGGGGGGACGGAGAAGGCUAUGUUGGCCGGGCGACGGUUGUCCCGGUUUAAGCGUGUAGGUGUGUGUUCCAGGUAAAUCCGGUUCACUUUAACACUGAGGCGUGAUGACGAGGCACUACGGUGCUGAAGCAACAAAUGCCCUGCUUCCAGGAAAAGCCUCUAAGCAUCAGGUAACAUCAAAUCGUACCCCAAACCGACACAGGUGGUCAGGUAGAGAAUACCAAGGCGCUUGAGAGAACUCGGGUGAAGGAACUAGGCAAAAUGGUGCCGUAACUUCGGGAGAAGGCACGCUGACACGUAGGUGAAGUGAUUUACUCAUGGAGCUGAAGUCAGUCGAAGAUACCAGCUGGCUGCAACUGUUUAUUAAAAACACAGCACUGUGCAAACACGAAAGUGGACGUAUACGGUGUGACGCCUGCCCGGUGCCGGAAGGUUAAUUGAUGGGGUCAGCGCAAGCGAAGCUCCUGAUCGAAGCCCCGGUAAACGGCGGCCGUAACUAUAACGGUCCUAAGGUAGCGAAAUUCCUUGUCGGGUAAGUUCCGACCUGCACGAAUGGCGUAAUGAUGGCCAGGCUGUCUCCACCCGAGACUCAGUGAAAUUGAACUCGCUGUGAAGAUGCAGUGUACCCGCGGCAAGACGGAAAGACCCCGUGAACCUUUACUAUAGCUUGACACUGAACAUUGAGCCUUGAUGUGUAGGAUAGGUGGGAGGCUUUGAAGUGUGGACGCCAGUCUGCAUGGAGCCGACCUUGAAAUACCACCCUUUAAUGUUUGAUGUUCUAACGUGGACCCGUAAUCCGGGUUGCGGACAGUGUCUGGUGGGUAGUUUGACUGGGGCGGUCUCCUCCUAAAGAGUAACGGAGGAGCACGAAGGUUGGCUAAUCCUGGUCGGACAUCAGGAGGUUAGUGCAAUGGCAUAAGCCAGCUUGACUGCGAGCGUGACGGCGCGAGCAGGUGCGAAAGCAGGUCAUAGUGAUCCGGUGGUUCUGAAUGGAAGGGCCAUCGCUCAACGGAUAAAAGGUACUCCGGGGAUAACAGGCUGAUACCGCCCAAGAGUUCAUAUCGACGGCGGUGUUUGGCACCUCGAUGUCGGCUCAUCACAUCCUGGGGCUGAAGUAGGUCCCAAGGGUAUGGCUGUUCGCCAUUUAAAGUGGUACGCGAGCUGGGUUUAGAACGUCGUGAGACAGUUCGGUCCCUAUCUGCCGUGGGCGCUGGAGAACUGAGGGGGGCUGCUCCUAGUACGAGAGGACCGGAGUGGACGCAUCACUGGUGUUCGGGUUGUCAUGCCAAUGGCACUGCCCGGUAGCUAAAUGCGGAAGAGAUAAGUGCUGAAAGCAUCUAAGCACGAAACUUGCCCCGAGAUGAGUUCUCCCUGAGACUUAGAGUCUCCUGAAGGAACGUUGAAGACGACGACGUUGAUAGGCCGGGUGUGUAAGCGCAGCGAUGCGUUGAGCUAACCGGUACUAAUGAACCGUGAGGCUUAACC